rnacentral:snRNA from 1 species
GUAAACCCGUAAGGCGCAAGGA